rnacentral:rRNA from 1 species
GACGAACGCUGGCGGCGUGCUUAACACAUGCAAGUCGAACGGAAAGGCCCUGCUUUUGUGGGGUGCUCGAGUGGCGAACGGGUGAGUAACACGUGAGUAACUUGCCCUUGACUUUGGGAUAACUUCAGGAAACUGGGGCUAAUACCGGAUAGGAGCUCCUGCUGCAUGGUGGGGGUUGGAAAGUUUCGGCGGUUGGGGAUGGACUCGCGGCUUAUCAGCUUGUUGGGGGGGUAGUGGCUUACCAAGGCUUUGACGGGUAGCCGGCCUGAGAGGGUGACCGGCCACAUUGGGACUGAGAUACGGCCCAGACUCCUACGGGAGGCAGCAGUGGGGAAUAUUGCACAAUGGGCGGAAGCCUGAUGCAGCAACGCCGCGUGCGGGAUGACGGCCUUCGGGUUGUAAACCGCUUUCGCCUGUGACGAAGCGUGAGUGACGGUAAUGGGUAAAGAAGCACCGGCUAACUACGUG